GCCUGGCUGGCUCAGUCGGUAGAGCAUGUGACUCUUGAUCUUGGGGUCGUGAGUCCAAGCCCCAUGUUGGGUG
rfam:Felis catus isolate Cinnamon breed Abyssinian chromosome A1, whole genome shotgun sequence.